rnacentral:rRNA from 1 species
GAGUAAUGUAUAGGAAUCUACCUAGUAGUACGGAAUAAUUGUUGGAAACGGCAACUAAUACCGUAUACGCCCUACGGGGGAAAAAUUUAUUGCUAUUAGAUGAGCCUAUAUUAGAUUAGUUAGUUGGUGAGGUAAAGGCUUACCAAGACAAUGAUCUAUAGCUGAUCUGAGAGGAUGAUCAGCCACACUGGAACUGAGAUACGGUCCAGACUCCUACGGGAGGCAGCAGUGGGGAAUAUUGGACAAUGGGCGAAAGCCUGAUCCAGCCAUGCCGCAUGAGUGAAGAAGGCCUUCGGGUUGUAAAGCUCUUUUAGUGAGGAAGAUAAUGACGGUACUCACAGAAGAAGUCUUGGCUAACUCUGUGCCAGCAGCCGCGGUAAUACGGAGAGGGCUAGCGUUAUUCGGAAUCAUUGGGCGUAAAGGGCGCGUAGGCGGGUUAAUAAGUUAAAAGUGAAAUCCCAAGGCUCAACCUUGGAACUGCUUUUAAAACUGCUAGUCUAGAG